rnacentral:rRNA from 1 species
AGAGUUUGAUCCUGGCUCAGAUUGAACGCUGGCGGAAUGCUUUACACAUGCAAGUCGAGCGGCAGCGCGGGGCAACCUGGCGGCGAGCGGCGAACGGGUGAGUAAUGCAUCGGAACAUGUCCAUGUCGUGGGGGAUAGCCCGGCGAAAGCCGGAUUAAUACCGCAUACGCCCGAGAGGGGAAAGUGGGGGACCGCAAGGCCUCACGCGAUUGGGUUGGCCGAUGUCCGAUUAGCUAGUUGGCGGGGUAAGAGCCCACCAAGGCGAUGAUCGGUAGCUGGUCUGAGAGGAUGAUCAGCCACACUGGGACUGAGACACGGCCCANACUCCUACGGGAGGCAGCAGUGGGGAAUUUUGGACAAUGGGGGCAACCCUGAUCCAGCCAUUCCGCGUGAGUGAAGAAGGCCUUCGGGUUGUAAAGCUCUUUUGUCCGGAACGAAACGGUUGGCGUGAAUAUCGCCGACUACUGACGGUACCGGAAGAAUAAGCACCGGCUAACUACGUGCCAGCAGCCGCGGUAAUACGUAGGGUGCGAGCGUUAAUCGGAAUUACUGGGCGUAAAGCGUGCGCAGGCGGUUUUGUAAGCCAGAUGUGAAAUCCCCGGGCUUAACCUGGGAAUGGCAUUUGGGACUGCAANGCUGGAGUGUGGCAGAGGAGACUGGAAUUCCCGGUGUAGCAGUGAAAUGCGUAGAUAUCGGGAGGAAUACCGAUGGCGAAGGC